UGGGGUAUAUUGGACAAUGGGCGCAAGCCUGAUCCAGCCAUGUCGUGUGAGUGAUGAAGGCGCUAGGGUUGUAAAGCUCUUUUACCGGGGAAGAUAAUGACGGUAACCGGAGAAGAAGCCCCGGCUAACUUCGUGCUAGCAGCCGCGGUAAUACGAAGGGGGCUAGCGUUGUUCGGAUUUACUGGGCGUAAAGCGCACGUAGGCGGACUUUUAAGUCAGAGGUGAAAUCCCGGGGCUCAACCCCGGAACUGCCUUUGUUACUGGAAGUCUUGAGUAUGGUAGAGGUGAGUGGAGAUCCGAGUGUAGAGGUGAAAUUCGUAGAUAUUCGGGGGAACACCAGUGGCGAAGGCGGCUCACUGGACCAUUACUGACGCUGAGGUGCGAAAGCGUGGGGAGCAAACAGG
rnacentral:rRNA from 1 species